UACUAGAAAAAUAUUUAUCAAAAUACUCUAUUUCCGUGGUGCCAUUGAUUUGGCUCGGAUUAAAGGUGUCGAGAUUGCGAUCACUGAUCUCAGCAAUGCUUGCAGGAACAGAUACCCCUUCCAGGAACAUGGGGAUAUGGUCUUUUUCCGUGCCUAGAAGGUUCCUCGAUUGAAGAUUCUGGAGCCCAAAAACAGUUUCGUAUCGCUUAUCUUCAAUCCCAGGGAAAAGGAAGAGGUGAAGCGAGUGCAGACGGAAGCCGGUUAGUCCCAAGUCAGUGAAACAUCAAAGCCAGAGGAGAAGAGAAGAAUCAAGUCUAGGAUGGAGCCAAGUUGUAGCUUUAAAUUGGUUCCAACGAAAUGAGAACUUUGCCAAAGUCAGGAGCAGAACAGGAGGGAGUGGAACUUGAAAAUACUCUGUUUCCGUGGUGCCAUUGAUUUGGCUCAGAUUAAAGAUGUCGAGAUUGCGAUCACUGAUCUCAGCAAUGCUUGCUGGAACAGAUACCCCUUCCAGGAACAUGGGGAUAUGGUCUUUUUUUCUGUGCCUAGAAGGUGCAUCGAUUGAAGAUUCUGGAGCCCAAUAGCAGUUUCAUAUCCCUUAUCUUCAAUCCCAGGGAAAAGGAAGAGGUGAAGCGAGUGCAGACGGAAGCCGGUCAGUCCCAGGAAGUCGGUGAAACAUCAAAGCCAGAGGAGAAGAAUCAAGUCUAGGAAGCAGCCAAGUCGUAGUUUUAAGUUGUUUCCAACGAAGCGAGAACUUUGCCAAAGGAGGGAGCAGAACAUGAGGGAGCGGAACAUGGCGAGUAUCUUCUGAGUCGCCAACGAUACCGCGCUUGCUAAUUCGCCUGCGCACCCCAGAUACAGCUGCAGAGGCAUGUGUAUGAACUAACUUCAUUUUGGGGUGUCUAAACGCCAGAUACUUUAUUAAUCCUAUGUACAAUGGGCAUCAAACUGUUCAGUGGACCCCUGGAAUUCAUAUUAUAUAUCAUCUGUUAUACAGAUAACUAGAAUCUCUGCUGCCAUAAAGCAGGCCAGGACUCUCUGUA